rnacentral:rRNA from 1 species
AUACUUUUAAUGUUGCCUCGGGCGGUAUCAGCCCGCGCCCCGUAAAACGGGACGGCCCGCCAGAGGACCCAAACUCUAAUGUUUCUUAUUGUAACUUCUGAGUAAAACAAACAAAUAAAUCAAAACUUUCAACAACGGAUCUCUUGGUUCUGGCAUCGAUGAAGAACGCAGCAAAAUGCGAUAAGUAAUGUGAAUUGCAGAAUUCAGUGAAUCAUCGAAUCUUUGAACGCACAUUGCGCCCGCUGGUAUUCCGGCGGGCAUGCCUGUUCGAGCGUCAUUUCAACCCUCAAGCCCCCGGGUUUGGUGUUGGGGAUCGGCUCUGCCCUUCUGGGCGGUGCCGCCCCCGAAAUACAUUGGCGGUCUCGCUGCAGCCUCCAUUGCGUAGUAGCUAACACCGUGCAACUGGAACGCGGCGCGGCCAGCCGUAAACCCCGACUUCGCAG